rnacentral:rRNA from 1 species
UACGAAGGGUGCAAGCGUUACUCGGAAUUACUGGGCGUAAAGCGUGCGUAGGUGGUGAGUUAAGUCUGUCGUGAAAGCCCCGGGCUCAACCUGGGAAUGGCGAUGGAUACUGGCUCGCUAGAGUAUGGGAGAGGGCAGUGGAAUUCCCGGUGUAGCGGUGAAAUGCGUAGAUAUCGGGAGGAACAUCAGUGGCGAAGGCGGCUGCCUGGCCCAAUACUGACACUCAGGUGCGACAGCGUGGGGAGCAAACAGG